rnacentral:snRNA from 1 species
GUGCUCACUUUGGCAGCACAUAUACUAUAAUUGGAACAAUACAGAGAAGAUUAGCAUGGCCCCCAAGCAAGUAUGACACAAAAAUUCAUGAAGCAUUCCAUAUUUUU